rnacentral:pre_miRNA from 1 species
UUUAUACUCCAUCCGUCCCAAAAUUCUUGUCUUACAUUUGUCUAGAUAUGAAUGUAUCUAGUCACUUUUUAGUAUUUAGAUACAUCCUUUUCUAAGCAAACCUAAGACAAUAAUUUUAGGACGAAAGUAAUA